UGUGGCAAGUGAUGAAUUUGAUCUUAUCCUACACACUGAUGAUCUGUGUUGACAACAACUCCGCUUAUUAUCUGAUGCCACU